AACAAACGCUGGCGGCGUGCCUAAUACAUGCAAGUCGAACGGGGAAAGCUUUCGGGUGAGUACUAGUGGCGCACGGGUGAGUAACGCGUGGAUAAUCUGCCUUGAAGAGGGGGAUAACCAGUCGAAAGAUUGGCUAAUACCGCAUAAGACCACAGGAACUGAGGUUCCAGAGGUCAAAGGUUUUUCGCUUCAAGAUGAGUCCGCGUAAGAUUAGCUAGUUGGUGAGGUAACGGCUCACCAAGGCGACGAUCUUUAACUGGUCUGAGAGGAUGAUCAGUCACACUGGAACGGAGACACAGUCCAGACACCUACGGGAGGCAGCAGUAGGGAAUAUUGCACAAUGGAGGAAACUCUGAUGCAGCGACGCCGCGUGAGUGAUGAAGGCCUUCGGGUCGUAAAGCUCUGUCGCAGGGGAAUAACACAAUGAAGGUACCCUGUAAGAAAGGAUCGGCUAACUUCGUGCCAGCAGCCGCCGUAACAC
rnacentral:rRNA from 1 species